AUUUAAGGUCUGACCUGCCCACUGAAUUUUUAAAGGGCCGCAGUAAUUUGACUGUGCAAAGGUAGCAUAAUCAUUAGUUUUUUAAUUAAAAGCUUGUAUGAAGGGUUGGACGAGGUAAAAUCUGUCUCUAUUUAAAUUAGAUUAAAAUUUAAUUUUUAAGUUAAAAAGCUUAAAUUUAUUUAAAAGACGAGAAGACCCUAUAGAUCUUUAUAUAAAUAAUAUUAAUUUUAUUUAGGAAUAUUUAGUUUAUUAUUAUUAUUUAUAUUUUAUUGGGGUAAUAAAAAGAUUUAAAUAAUUCUUUUUUAUAUAAAACAUUGAUUUAUGAUUAAAUGAUCCAAUAUUUUUGAUUUUAAGAUUAAGUUACCUUAGGGAUAACAGCGUAAUUUUUUUAGAGAGUUCAUAUCGAUAAAAAAGUUUGCGACCUCGAUGUUGGAUUAAAAAUUAUCUUAGGUGCAGAAGUUUAAGAUUUUGGUCUGUUCGACCAUUAAAUUUUUACAUGAUCUGAGUUCAGACCGGUGUAAGCCAGGUCGGUUUCUAUCUUUAAUUAAUUAUAAUAUUUUAGUACGAAAGGACCAAAUAUUUAAUAUAUGCAUAUUUAAUUUUUUGAAUAUUAUUAAUUACUUUGGCAGAAUAGUGUAAUGAAUUUAGAAUUCAUUUAUGUAAAUUUUUUUACAAGUAAUAUUGUUUUUUAUAGAUUUAUUAUUUUCUAUAGUUUGUAUUUUAUUAUUAGUUAUUUGUGUAUUAGUAGGAGUAGCUUUUUUAACUCUAUUGGA
rnacentral:rRNA from 1 species